GACGAACGCUGGCGGCGUGCUUAACACAUGCAAGUCGAACGGAAAGGCCCUGCUUUUGUGGGGUGCUCGAGUGGCGAACGGGUGAGUAACACGUGAGUAACCUGCCCUUGACUUUGGGAUAACUUCAGGAAACUGGGGCUAAUACCGGAUAGGAGCUCCUGCUGCAUGGUGGGGGUUGGAAAGUUUCGGCGGUUGGGGAUGGACUCGCGGCUUAUCAGCUUGUUGGUGGGGUAGUGGCUUACCAAGGCUUUGACGGGUAGCCGGCCUGAGGGGGUGACCGGCCACAUUGGGACUGAGAUACGGCCCAGACUCCUACGGGAGGCAGCAGUGGGGAAUAUUGCACAAUGGGCGGAAGCCUGAUGCAGCAACGCCGCGUGCGGGAUGACGGCCUUCUGGUUGUAAACCGCUUUCGCCUGUGACGAAGCGUGAGUGACGGUAAUGGGUAAAGAAGCACCGGCUAACUACGUG
rnacentral:rRNA from 1 species